rnacentral:rRNA from 1 species
GACGAACGCUGGCGGCGUGCUUAACACAUGCAAGUCGAACGGAAAGGCCCUGCUUUUGUGGGGUGCUCGAGUGGCGAACGGGUGAGUAACACGUGAGUAACCUGCCCUUGACUUUGGGAUAACUUCAGGAAACUGGGGCUAAUACCGGAUAGGAGCUCCUGCUGCAUGGUGGGGGUUGGAAAGUUUCGGCGGUUGGGGAUGGACUCGCGGCUUAUCAGCUUGUUGGUGGGGUAGUGGCUUACCAAGGCUUUGACGGGUAGCCGGCCUGAGAGGGUGACCGGCCACAUUGGGACUGAGAUACGGCCCAGACUCCUACGGGAGGCAGCAGUGGGGAAUAUUGCACAAUGGGCGGAAGCCUGAUGCAGCAACGCCGCGUGCGGGAUGACGGCCUUCGGGUUGCAAACCGCUUUCGCCUGUGACGAAGCGUGGGUGACGGUAAUGGGUAAAGAAGCACCGGCUAACUACGUG